rfam:Danio rerio chromosome 4, GRCz11 reference primary assembly.
GCAUUGGUGGUUUAGUGGUAGUAUUCUCGCCUGCCACGUGGGAGACAUGGGUCCGAUUCCCAGCCAAUGCA